CUUUCCAGAUCAGUUUGAACGCGACAGCGAACCCAAUUCCGGUCUGUAAAUCCCAAUUGCGGGCCAAGGCGCCGGAACCAAAGCGUGGCCGCUUCCAUUUCCGGGCGGAGGCGCCAGUUUGUGGCGAGGGAUCGAUUGCUUUUGCCUGGCGGGGGUCGGGCCAGAGAGGACGGCGAGCUCGGCGGCUGCGGGCCAGCCUGGCGGUGUACGGCGUCCUCGUCGCGGGGGAGCCCGAGCUGCUGAGAUCCGGGAGGCGCGCUGGGCCCGCGUCGGACGGCUCGGUCGUGUUUGCACACGCGCUGGUGCGAGGCCCCUUGUUGGUGAUGGAGGUGGCGAGCAACAACAACAAAAAGGAGUUCUUUAUGGCAAAUUCAGACCAUCCUAGGCCUCUUGAGAGUUACUCCUUCCUUUUUGGAAUGAAUGCCCUGUGGGCAGGAUGGCUGAAAACCAGAGGAUAGUCCCUGCAGAGUCCUGUGCUUCUGAAGAAACACUCUUAUUAUGAUAGCUGUAUUGAAGCAGGUGAGAAAUAUAAUAAUUUUUAUUAACAAGUCUAAUCUACUUGAAAGGCACUGACAUAGAGGUUGUUGGGACCCUUGGCUCACAUAGCAGUUUCUGAAGAAAUCCUUUUAUUAUUAUUUAUUUUUAUUUUUAUUUUUUGAAGAAAUCCUUUUGAAAAGCAGUGGAAUUUAAAUUGCUCAGACCAUGGUAAGGGGUAUGGGGACUUUGGAAAAGAAGAAUAUGUGAAACAGAUCAUGGUCUUCUCAAGCAGGGCAUUACAGAGCAAGGAAGAGGAGGGCUGGGGUGGUCACAGUGGAAUCUAUCUUUCUGGGUCCUUUUAGUCAUUUGUAUCAUCUGCUCAGUCUUUGGAAAUGGUAUAAUUCACUUUGGCAUCAGUAAACCUCUACUUUCCAGUUCUACAGGAUUUCUAGCUCAGUGUUUGAAAAGAGAUCGAAUUUCUUGUCAAUUCCUUGACAAAGCCAGGUUUCUCCAAAACGUCAUGCCCUUGUCUUGCCCUCCCUUCCUCAGCUUUCCCCACUCUCUAUUUCCAUCCAUUUCCCUGCGGGUCUUCCUGUUUAGCAGCAGCAAUACUGUAAUACCGGUGCCCAGAAUCCAGUGUUGGUGAGUGAGAUCUGUGAUACAGUCUGCAGUGCCUGGGCCUGUCAGCAGCAACGCCCAUAUCUGCCCUGGACCAUCUGUGGAGCCAGGUUUGUUCUGGCCUCAGAGUGACUGUGGUUGGCUCUCUGACCUUCCCAGAUUGUGCGAGCAGCUUAGAUCACUAAGAAUCUGUUUCACACUUGAAAGCAGUAACCUAGACUGAUAUAAACGUUUAUAAAGCAUCUGCUAGCUGACAGGAUCUGGUGCUGCAGAAAUGACCAAGGAAUUUACAGUGGAGUGGGGGAAAACCGACAACUAAAGAAAUAACUACAGGGCUUCCACAGUCAAUAGUGAUAGACCAGGUAAUUCAGAUCAAACUCUGAGAAAACCAGAAAAUCUAGGUCGAUUUUACAAUAGAAAAUCUACUUGAGGCAUACAAGAUAUAAUAAGAUAAAGGAUUAUCAGGCUGUGAAUGGAGAGAAGAAAGGAAUCCAGAGAGCUGAGUAUGGAAUUUGGUGUUGUUUUUCCCGUGGGAGUAUUUCUGCCAUAGGCUGAAUGUUCGUAUCUCCCCCCCCAAAUUCACGUUGAAACCUAAUCCUCAUGUGAUCAUGGUCUUUGGAGGUGGGGCCUUUGGGAGGUGGUUAGGUCAUGAGGGUGGAGCCCUCAUGAAUGGGAUCAGUGCCCUUAUAAAAGCUCCACAGGGGCGCCUGGGUGGCUCAGUCGGUUAAGCAUCCGACUUUGGCUCAGGUCAUGAUCUCGCAGUUGGUGGGUUCGAGCCCUGGGUUGGGUUCUGUAUGGACAGUUCAGAGCCUGGAGCCUGCUUCAGAUUCUGUGUGUGUGUCUCUCUCUUUCUGUCUCUCUCUGCCCCUCUCCCGCUCAUACUCUGACUCUCUCUCUCUUAUAAAUUAUAAAUAUACGUUAAAAAAAUAAAAAUAAAUAAAAAAUUUAAAAAACAUUAUCUCAGGGUGCCUGGGUGGCUCAGUCAGCUAAGCAUCCGACUCUACGCUGACAGCACAGAGCCUGCUUGGAAUUCUCUGUCUCCCUCUUUCUCUGCCCCUCGCUCACGCUUUCUCUUUCAAAAAUAAAUAAACUUAAACACACACACAGACACACACACACACACACACACACACACACACACACACACACAUUAUCUCAGUCCCUGAAUUUGGAUCAAGGUAUUUUGGAUUACUGUUGCCUCUAGCCACUGGCGGGAAAAGAAAAAGUGAAAUUCUUUCUGGAGAAUUUUAACACUGUUAGGUCACAGAUUAAUUCUAAUUUUGGAAAUGUAAUGUUAGAUAAAAUUUGAAAAGAAAUAACUAGGCACACAAGAGACAAGGUAACAUAUAACAUAAACAAGAACCAGCAGAAACAACAAAUAUUAGGUUCACGAGGACUCUAGCUGUUGGAGUUACCAGCCAGAGACUUAGAAAACUGUGUUAAUAGAUUUAAGAUGAUAAAAGUCAAGAUUUUUAAUUUUGGCAGAGAACUGGAACUAUCAAAGACGUAGUAGAUUUGAAAAAGAGCCAAAAGAUACUGUAAUAUGAAAAAAUAAUAACAAAUACUUAAAACUUAGUGGGUAAAAUAAUGAGAAACAGAGCACAACUGAACAGAGAAUUACCGAACUGAAAGAAAGUUCUGAAAAAAAUAUCCUGAAUAAAACAUGGAGACCCAAAAUGAUGAAAAAUAGUGAUGAGAAGGUAAAAUACAAAGAAGAUGCCACGAGAAUGUCUAAUCUACAUAUAACCGUUAAAGGCGAGUGGAAGGAGUGGAAGAAUGAAUCUCGCAGACAACAGAGAGUGAACAAAGCGAUAAGAGUUUAUCGAGGGAAAGUAUAAAGCUCUCGAGAGUGAGAGAGGUCCUGACUGGGUAGCCGUCAAGGAUUUUUGUCCCUGACCUUAUCAGAGAGUUUGUGAGGCUCCACUCAUGGCGCCUAGCCCAGACAGGUCUGGAAUAUGCUGCUUCUUCAGCCUCCCACUUGAACCUGCAGUCUGCUUCCCUGAGGCUCCCUUAUCUCUCCUCGCCUAAUGUUAACCCUUUCCCUAUUCAUAACCGAAGUUCUGGAAAGCAAGUCCAAAAUGAAUGGGGCAGAAGCUACGUUUGAAAAAACUAAUGGUUAAGAAUUUGCCGAAUCUCAUGAAAGAUAUCAAGCUGCAAAUUCAAGAAUUGUUACAAACUACAUCCAGAAUAGUAAUAGCAGUAAUAGUCCUAAGUGCAUAUCACAAACAAUUUGCUGAAAACCAAUGAUAAGGAAAAUAACUAUAAAAACAGUGAGGGAAUAUCUUUAGGUUGUCUAGCUACCAAUAGUACUAAAAAUGGAGGGGAAAAUUUUUUCUUCUGAUGCCAGAUUAUAAGAAAACCUACAACAAAUGUCAGGCUUAAUGGCGAAAUGUUGCAGUCAUUCCCUUUGAGAUUAGAUCAGGGAUUCCCACACUAUCCCUACCACUUAUAUUCAACAAUGUACUGGAAGUCCUAGCCAAUCCAGUAAAGCAAGAAAAUGAAAAUAAUUGUUAACAGAUCGGAAAGAAAAUUUUAAGUGUCAUUAUUUGAAUGUGAUUGUGUGAAAACCCAAAAAGCUCCACAAAUGAGUUUUUAGAAUUAAUGAGUUUAACAAGUUUGCAUUUCAAGAUCAAAAGACUAAAAUCAAUUGUGUUCUAUAUACCAGGGUAAAAAAAUGAAAGUUAGUUUUGGAAAGAAUACCAUAUAUAUUAGCAUAAAAAUAGCCAGUAUUUUGCAUCAAAUAAAAGGCAUUCAAGAACUAAAAUAGAAAAUAUUAUUGAGGCUAAAAAGUGACCUAAAAUAAAUGUAUGAUGUACCUACCAUUUCAUGGAUUAUAGGAUUCGAAAUCAUAUAGAUAUCUCAAUCCAGCAUGAUCUAUAAAUUCAAUGUACACUGGUGACAUUCCCAGCAACUAUUUUGUGAAAUUUGAGAAGAUGAUUCUAAAGUUUAUGAUGGAAAUUCACAGGGCUGAGAUUUGCCCAAGACGGUAAUUAAGGUAUAUGUGCAAGGAUAGACAAAUAGCCAAGGUCAAAAAAUAAUGCAGAUUACAGGGAGAAGACCCAUACAUAUCAAUACCUGAUUUAUGAAAACAAUUAAAAACACAAGGUAAAGGAAGAACUUCUAGGUAUAUAGUGCUAGGACAAAGAAAUGUGCACGUGCCAAAAAAAAAAAAAAAAGAUUCCUAUCCUAUUACCACAUAAAAUCAGUAUUUCAUUAGCUAUACAUCUCCAUGUAAGGGAUUAUUAAAAUUUUAGGUAAUAUUAGAUAAUAUAUUAGUUAAGAGCAGAAAAAUAAUGUUUUAAGUGUAUUUAUUUUUGAGAGAGAGUCAGCGCAUAUGCGAGGUGGGGAGAGGCAGAGAGAGAGAGAGAAUCCCAAGCAAGCUUUGCACUGUCAGCACAGAGCCCUACAUGGGGCUUGAACCCACAAACUGUGAGAUCGAGACCUGAGCUGAAAUCAAGAGUCCGGUGCUUAACUGGCUGAAACACCUAGGUGCCCCCAGAAAAAUAAUUAUUAAAUAGGAUAUAAAACAAUUUACUAUAAAGGAAAAUAUUGAUAAAUUGGGUAAUACCAAAAUGAAGAACUUAGGUUCAUCAAAAGAUAAUUUUAAGAAAGAGAAAAGACAAGCUUUAAACUGGGAGAAGAUAUUUGCUACACAUAAAGUCAAUAAAGGGCUUGUGUCCAUAAUAUAAAAUGGACUUAUGAAUUAUGAAUCAAAAGUAGAAGGACAAAGCUUUCACAAAGGAGGAUAUCCAAAUUGCCAAUACAAAUGUGAAAAGGGCUCAGCCUCAUUAAUCAGAGAAAGAAAUGCAAAUUAAAACCACAAUGAGAUACCACUACACAUGUAGCAGAAUGGCUAAAAUAUUUUUUUAAAAGAGGAAAAUGGUAGGAAUUGGCAAGGAUGUGGAAUAACUAAAAAUCUCACACACUGCUGAUGGGGUAUAAAUUGGCACAGUCAAUUUGGAAACAGAAACGUGUGCCUGUGCAUCAAGAUAUGUGCAUGAGAUUGUUCAUCGCCGCAUACUUCAUAGCAGUAAAAAACUAGCAUCAGCCAAAAAAUCUAUUAUCAGUAGAAUGAAAAACACAUGAGGAAGGGUGAGGAUGCUAACUGAGGCAUAUAGAGCUGGAGCAGAACAUGAAACUAACCAGAUAGGAUGACAGAUUAGAAGUGGCAUUGACAAAGAGCGUGAAACUUCAGUGAGUGAGGUUCCAAGAUUUCUGAGUUGUGCUGGUCACCAGUAUGGGGGAAAUAGAAGACAGAACAGGUUGAUCUCAUUUUGUUGGUUUAACAAACGUUACUGAGCACCAUUUAUAUCCUAGGCACUCUGUAGGAUCUGGAAAUAAACUGUGAGUAAGAGUGCACAGUCAGCUGAGUCUUCAUUUGAGCUUUACAAUGGCCUUUUGAAACCGGACAGUCAUUUACAUCUGACAGAUGGGCUUUUGUGGCUCUGAAAUGUCCUCCUAGUUGAUGGUGAAUCUGAGACUCAACUCAAGCCUUUUUGCCUCAGCGCUUUUUCUUCAGCCAAAUGAGGAGAGGAUGUGGAUGGGAACUGUGUGAGGCCUCUGAGGAGCACAUUUCCCCACCCCAGAGGUGCCUGUAACAGCCAGAGACUCAAAGCUCAUGAACAAGCUUAUGUUCACUGUAGGCAAGCCAGGGCAGGGUGACCAGCCAGCUCUCCUGUUUCGCAGGCUUCUGUAACAACCAUCAACUUCUCUUAUUGCUCCUCCUGGCCUGGUUCAUUUCAUCCAAGUGUUUUCCAUCAAUUAUUUGGAUGGCUGUUGAGUCGUGGGCACUGAGCAAAUUAUCAGAAACACACACACACACACACACACACAGAGACACAUUGUAUGCCUGCAAGGAACUCUCAAAUUCUAAUCUGUGGAUAAAGGCAGAUCUAUAGGCCAGUGAGAGAAAUGGAGGGUUUGGGGGCUUUGAGAGUCAUAAGAGCAUGACAUAGGAAGCACAGAGGAGGAAGUGAUCAGUUCUGGGAAUUUAACCUUGAAAAGGGGUAGUGUUACUUUCAGGACAACUGAGCAGAUACUCAGGAAAGAUAACAGGUCUAACUAAGCCACAGAGCCACCACAGUCUGUUGUGUUAGAGGAAACUUUCUGAGGUCUUGGUAUUUGCAUGUUUGUAUUAGUAAGCAGCAGCUGAUUAUGUUGAAAUAUAAGGCAAGAUCAAUAUUCUUAAGAAGGUGGAAGUAUGAAGAGGAUAGAAGACAAAUGAGUAUAUGCUUCAAAGGAGGCUUGGUAAAAAAAAAUCAGAGUAAAACCAAAACCCGUACAGGUUUUAUCCUGAAAUGGCAUCAUACAUAGAACGCAAGGGAAGAAAAUUUUUCAAGAAGACAGUAUCCACCUGUGCCAGAUGCUUGAGACUUUAUGUGAGAAGAGAAUAGAGAACUGAUUAUUGAGUUUGGCUGUGUGAAGGUUGUCAGGGUUUACGAAAGUCAUUUCCAAGGAGGAAUAGAGAUAAGGGUGACUUAGAGUGGAUUGAAGAGAGAAUGGGAAGUAAGGAAGUGAAAACAGCUAAUGUGGAAAACUUCUGAGAAGUAUUUUGCAGUUAAGGGAGGUAGAGAAUGGAGUGGUAAUUAGAGAGAGAAGACUA